rnacentral:rRNA from 1 species
UACAGAGGGUGCGAGCGUUAAUCGGAAUUACUGGGCGUAAAGCGCACGUAGUCGGCUUUGCAAGUCGGUUGUGAAAUCCCCGGGCUCAACCUGGGAACUGCAUCCGAGACUGCAUUGCUAGAGUAUGGGAGAGGGAAGCGGAAUUCCUGGUGUAGCGGUGAAAUGCGUAGAUAUCAGGAGGAACACCUGCGGUGUAGACGGCUUACUGGACCAUAACUGACGCUGAGGCACGAAAGCGUGGGUAGCAAACAGG